UGAGAGUCAUGGAGGAUUUAUGUUUAUCCAAGUCUCUUUAUUUGCAGAUUCUGAAAGAGGAAAAAGCAUAGGAGAUGGGUAUGCCUGAAGCUAUUCCCUGGAGAGCCAACAGCAUGGAGGAAUUUGAAAAUAAGAAUGGGAACUUUAAAAUCAAAGUACUUCCUAAUCAGCAUUCCAAUCCAGUUUCCCUGUUUCUGCCUUAACGAUCAGUGUGGAGAGCUAAUGUAUGACUGUAAUUCCUUGUACAGUUUACUGAAUAAAAAGGGAAAGGAUCAAGAAUCACACAUUUCCCUCCUCCCCUAAAAAACUAGCAACACAAAAACAAAAUUAUUCCACCAGAAGACAAAGUUUGGCAAAUGAUGAAAUAUCAGCUGGUAUUCAUUGCCUUUGGAAUUUAUACCCUCCAUGCCAACUUAGCUU